GACGUAGGAGGCGAGCGUUGUCCGGAUUCAUUGGGCGUAAAGAGCACGCAGGCGGUUUGGCAAGUCGGACGUGAAAAUCCGGGGCUCAACCCCGGACCUGCAUCCGAAACUGCCCGACUAGAGGUAGGUAGGGGAGAUCGGAAUUCCUGGUGUAGCAGUGAAAUGCGUAGAUAUCAAGAGGAACACCAGUGGCGAAGGCGAGUCCCUGGACGAUACCUGACACUGAGGCACGAAAGCUAGGGGAGCAAACAGG
rnacentral:rRNA from 1 species